rnacentral:rRNA from 1 species
GAUGAACGCUGGCGGCGUGCCUAAUACAUGCAAGUCGAGCGAACAGAUGAGGAGCUUGCUCCUCUGACGUUAGCGGCGGACGGGUGAGUAACACGUGGAUAACCUACCUAUAAGACUGGGAUAACUUCGGGAAACCGGAGCUAAUACUGGAUAAUAUAUUGAACCGCAUGGUUCAAUAGUGAAAGACGGUUUUGCUGUCACUUAUAGAUGGAUCCGCGCCGCAUUAGCUAGUUGGUAAGGUAACGGCUUACCAAGGCAACGAUGCGUAGCCGACCUGAGAGGAUGAUCAGCCACACUGGAACUGAGACACGGUCCAGACUCCUACGGGAGGCAGCAGUAGGGAAUCUUGCACAAUGGGCGAAAGCCUGACGGAGCAACGCCGCGUGAGUGAUGAAGGUCUUCGGAUCGUAAAACUCUGUUAUUAGGGAAGAACAACUGUGUAAUUAUCUAUCGAUGUCUUGACGGUACCCAAACAGUAAGCCACGGCUAACUACGUG